rnacentral:ribozyme from 1 species
UGCAAACAAGAGAAAUAAAUAUCAUGGCGGCAGGAUUUGGGUUAUGAGUCUUUUGUUUGGUAUGCUGCUUAUUAUGGAUUCCGGUGGAUUCGUUUGUGCUAUACUGCAGAAUGUGGUAUGCACGAGUCUUCUAAGCUAACUGGUGUCUUUU